rnacentral:rRNA from 1 species
AAGCGCUUGCCCCCAGACUUGUCGGCGGUGUUCCGCCGGUCUUCUGACCGGUCUACUCGCCGUCGACAGGCCAGCACCGUCUGGGGCCGCCGGAGAAAGGCGUCGGGAAUGUGGCUCUUCGGAGUGUUAUAGCCCUUCGCACAAUACGGCGCGCCCCGGGCGAGGUCCGCGCUUCGGCUAGGAUGCUGGCGUAAUGGCGGUAAGCGG